rnacentral:snoRNA from 2 species
CUGGGUCAUAUGAUGAUUAGAAGCAUAGUUCAAAUGAAAUCUAUGUGAUUACAAAACUUCUUUUUUAGUCUUUCGCUCCUAUCUGAUGACUCUU